AGUUUCCAUGGAAAGGCAGCUUCAUCAAAUUUUGAGUGUUCUGUGCUAUGUCUGAGAAUAAAGGUGAAGAGACAGGUUUCAUGACCUCAGGAAGAUCCCUUACGGGAGCCCCAUAAGGAAGAUGUGGAUUACUGGAGGAGAAAGGUGCACCAGCUGACACCACCCAGAUCCAUAAACUGGCUCAUCUGGUCUUGUGGUCCUCAUUCGGGAACUGACAGUGCAAGAGGAGAGCUUCAACUCCCUAUGAUUUCAUCUCUUCCCCAACCAGUCAGCAGCAAGUACCCAUUGCAUGGCCAUCCCUUCUCCCAAACUGCCUUUGAAAAACUCCUAACCUACCAGUCUGAGGGAAGAUUGAUUUGAGUAAUAACUCUGAUAUGGUUUCGGUCUGUGUCCUCACCCAAAUCUCAGGUUGAAUUGUUACCCCAGUGUUGAAGGAGGGGCGUGGUGGGAGGUGAUUGGACCAUGACGGCGGAUUUCCCCCUGGCUGUUCUCAUGAUAUGAGUGAGUUCUCACUAGAUCUGGUUGUUUAAAAGUAUGUAGAACCUCCCCCUUCUCUCUCGGCCUCCUGCUCCAGCCACGUAGGACAUGCCUCCUUCCUCAUCACCUUCUGCCAUGAUUGUAAGUUUCCUGAGGUCUCCCCAGACAUGCUUCCUGUAUAGCUUGUGGAACUGUGAGUCAAUUAAAUCUCUUUUCUUUAUAAAUUACUCAGUCUCAGGUAGUUCUUUAUAGCAGUGUGAGAAUGGACUAAUACAAACUCUGUGUGGUGUAGCCAGCCUUGCAUCAACUAAACUCUUUCUUCACUGCAAUGCCAUGUUUUACAACUCAUACAGAGACAAGGCCUAAGGAUGAAGAUCACCCAUCAUCCAACAAACCGUUGGAAGCUAUGUUCAAACUGAAAGAAUCACCUGAGAUGCUGAUAAACUAUUUUCAAAAGUGCUUGAAUCAUUUUACAUUUCCACCAGUAGUGUAGAAGUGCUUCAGUCAUUCCACAUCCUCAAGGUCACUUGAUAUGGUCAGUCUUUAAUUUUAGCUAUUCUAAUGGGUAUGCAGUGGUAUCUCAUGUGGUUUUAAAUUUAUUGAGCAUCUUUUCAAAUGAUCAUAUGUCAUGUGUUUCUUUAAAGUGUCUUUUAAAAUCUUUUUUACUUUUCUUUUUUGGUUGUACACUUUUUAAAAUUAUUGUGUUUCAAAUACUCUUUCUGUGUUCUGGGUACAAGUUCUUUAUCAGACAUGUGACUUACAACUUUUUUGUCUGAACCUGUAGCUUGGAUGUGUGCUUUUAGAAAAGGAAACAUUCUUAAUUUUGAAUAAGUUCAAUUUGCCAUUCUUUUUCUUUAAAGAUCAUGCCUUUGAUGUUGUAUGUGAGAGACUGUUGCCUAACCUAAGGUCACAAAUAUUUUCUCUUGUAUUUUUUAGAAGAUUUUUACCUUUAAAAUUUACCUUUAGGUCUGUAGUCCAUUUUGAUUUAAUUUUUGUGUGUGAUGUGCAAUAUAAUAGGCAGAAUUCCUAAUGCUGUGUUCUAGCCACUAUGUACUACAAUAGGAUGAACAAAACUGACAAAAAUGAGAAAUUGGAGAGGUAAGAAAAAUAUAUAGUAAUCAUGACAGAAAAAAUUACAAUUUGCUUGACUGAUUACUUAAGUGUUGAAUUCAAUGAAUUAAGUUCUUAAAUUCAGCUUGAGUAAAGCAUACCAGAGACAAGUAUGAAGAAACAAAUUAGUGAUUUUAGUGAUCUUUAAAAAAUAGUAAUAAACCAUUUUAUCUAAUAGAAGUGUUUUCAACAUUAUUCUAUUUAGAGUUAAUCUUCAUGAACUUUAAAAUUUAAUUCAUCACUCAUCGAUUCAACAGUGUUUACUCUAGCAUGUCAUAUUUUUUUCUUCAAACUCUGUACAUUGAAAUAUA
rnacentral:lncRNA from 1 species